UAAUGUGCUGCACGAAUUGCAAUAUUUUGAAAUCAUUUUCACAUUGUUUCUUUCACAAGGCAAUCGCAUGACCAGAACUCAAAUUCAAAGCUACACGUUACCAUAUGUAAAGCCGACGAUGCAAUUGCUCCUUUCAAUAUGAGAAGCGUAUGGCGUUUCUCGGUGCGAGAUUAGGCGCGAGAAAGGGAUGUCUAAUGGAGGAGAUUUGAGGCAAAUAGGCGGGAAAUCCCUCGACGAGCCUGCGCCAGUACCUGCUGAGCCCCGUCUGACAUCUAAGGUAUUAACGGUGAUUUAUGAGCCAAAAAACAAAGGAUCUAAUUUCACCUUUCAAUUACCGCCCAUAGUCGCGCAGAGUCAAAAGAGACUUGAACAGAGGGCUGCACAACUUAAGAUAAAUAACUUUUAUUGAAUAUGAAGUUUCUUGCUCUCUGAAAUGUCCCCUCUUGAACCGGCAUCUAGGAUUGUUUGAAAAUGCUCUUUAGUAAAGUCUAAACGAUAGUAAAGAAAAGGCUGUUUUGUAAAGAUGUUUACAAGGUGAACGAUCUAAUCUGUUUAAUGUUCAAUUUGAUUAUCUCUCUUGAUUAAAACUAUGACCCAAAUGGGAAUCGUUGCACUGAAAAACAAAGACUGUCGAGUUAGUCCUAAUCACGCGUGGUUUCGUACCAAUUUAUGCUAUAAUGAAAGAGGCCUGUGGCAUUAACGUUAAAACUGGUCCUCUGCUAACUUUUCAUGUUUUCAAAACACCCGAAAAUUGAAUUAUAUCUAACUAUCCCCAUUCCGAACUAUGACAUUAAAAUUUACAUAAAAGAUGUCAUGUUUAAUGUUCAUCAGACUAACUUCAGUUUCGUUAAGUAAAAGAGAAAUUGCUUACUUUUUAGAUGCUCGCAAAUGGAAACGAGCUUCAUAUUCCUCAAUGCAAUUUAAUCGGCAACUUUCACAUUCACUAUUUAUAAGGGAGGGAUAUUUCCGCGAAAGGGAAAUGCAAAGUACUGAAUGGCAUGGAUUCUUUAGACCGGGGUUAGGGAAGCGACUAUUAAUGAACUUUUCAUUCACCGCUAGUGAUCUACCCAUCGAAACGAUUAUACCUCAGUCACACCACCAAACACGACUCAACACCGACUCCAAGCCGCCUAAUUGGUGGCCAUUGGAGGGGAUGUAAUUGCUUGUUCGGUCUGUGAUCGGUCUGGUGUCGGCUCUCAUAGGUGUGACUGAGGCAUUAACCCUGCCUUUCCAUUAUCACGUAGAUGGCGGCCUUUUUCUCAUCAUCGUCACAGAAGCACAACCCAAUUUUCCAGGCAUGAAUAAUUCAAGGUUGUUACCACUGCCCGAAUGUCAUUGCUUAACUGCCUUUUAGUACCCCCGAUGACACAGCACCCCCACCCCUGUCUCUCUCUCUCUCUCUCCCACACACACACAAUACACACGCGCUUAUAUCUCACCCUCGCUCGUUCGGUAACGCACACACACAUCAUGAUAAGGCGCGGUGGUAAUUGCAUGUGAAGUGUGUGUGCGCGUGGGAAACCGAUGUAGUACUCUCUCAACAAUGCCCGCCUCUACCCAUCAGGCAUUGGUCCCUCGGCUCUGCUGCGUACUGCAGUCUUUGGGGAAUGACUAAUUUCACAAAUGGAAGCGGGGGCUUCGGAGGGGAAAUAGUGCAUGCAAUACAAAUGGUGAGAUGCAAUGCCAGCGUGAGAUAGUAGCGACGAAAUGACAUCGUGAUGACGUUGUUAUUGCUAACAAGAGUGAGAAAGAGAGAGAAAGAGGGAGAGAGAGAUUCCUUGUUCAGAAUGCGAAGAGGCGAAAAAGCCAAUCCAGCUCCCCGAUCUUUUUCCUACAACUCAUUGAUCAUUUACUCUUAUAAAUAGGAAUAAAUCCUAUGAAAUUCUGCCAAUUCUCUUCAAUGUUCUACGUAUCCAUCUACGCAUUCAUUUCGCUCUUUGUUAUGUUAGUUCUGUGCACAAUUACUCAAACGCUCUAAAUAAUUUUAUGAAUAUCCCAUGUACAUGAUAAUCUUCCUUAAUCAAAGAAUAUCUGCUACAUUUUACUCAGUCGCUUAUAUUGAUUUGUUUUCUUAGGCAAUACUAGAUAUCAACCAUAAAGACACCAUUUGACUAUCGGAAUUGCCAUUUAAAUCCUUUCUUUGAUGUUAUAUCUAUUUUAAAGAGACACCGACAUCUUAUUAUUCAUUUUUAACCAUCAAUAAAGUUAUUACUGUCAUUUACUACUUUUCAUACUAGGGUUUAGAGUUAUGAUUUUCAGAUAAGGCCAUACAACUUCCGAAGGCACUGCGUUUUUCAAUAGAAGAUAUGACAUUUCCUUUAAUUGCCAAUAUAAACAACAAUUUGAAAGUGACAAUGUAAGGUAUAGCAUGUUAGCCAGUUUCAGCUAUUAUACAUAUUAACCCUGUUUAGCAGAAUCGGGAACUGAAACCGGAAAUAGAACGGCUGUUUCAUAUAAAAGGCAGUUUAUAGGAGCAAUUGAAGAUUAAAUGGAAUAAAUUCCAAGUCCAUCAUUUCGCUAUGUAGAGUGGUCUAUCAUCUCCUUAUAAACUAUUCUGUAAAGCUUGAACAAAACAGAGCCCCAAGGAUGUCGGGUCAUAGACUAUCUACUGAUGAUCAUCGACAAGCUGUCAUCUUGUUUCUGAAUUGAGGUCACUCGAUGAUGAUAAAAUCUCGUGAAGCCGAGCAUAUUAAUAGCUUCUUAGAAAAUAUGGCAGGACAUGUCGUCCGCAUACGAGGAUCCAACCCCUUAGAUGCGAGUGAAGAGCUUGAAGAAAACGUUAGCUGCAGAAUUUGAUUACCAGCAGUAGACACGCUGACUGGUUUGCAUGACUGGCAAUGAUGAUGGCAGUGUUUCGCUCCACGUUGCAUCGCUCAGCUCAACCACCCUAUCGACCCCGAUCUUCAAUAUUGUAUGAAGGCCAUUUGCAUGUCGAUGGCGAAACCGACAAUGGUUGGAAAACGAUUACCAAUUCACCAUUGCCAUCCUCCCACGUUAUAUAAACAUUGACGAGUUUUAUGGUGAGGAGAUGAAAGAGAAUGCUAAGAAAGCUAAACAAUCCACCUUCGUAAUGAAUGGAUUCAUAACAGAUCAUAAUAGUGUUUCAGAGAAAAUCCUUCAGAUUCAAGUAUCGCAUUAAUAUUUAGGUGUGCCCAGAUAGAGUCAUUGGAAUUUGAUGGUGAAUGUGUUUCGUAUAAGACUUCUUUUGUAUAACGGUUUGGUUUCAUUUCAUCAUGCAUAUUUGAUAUCGAGAAAAUCUGACUUUUGUACCGCAACAAUAUUCUCCAAAACUAUAUGAAAAGGCUCAUAUAAAAAACCAAUGUUGCAAAACGUUCAAUGCAAAAAAGGAAUGGACAAAUUAUUGCUUUUGAAGAGGUUUUCGUGAAAAGUCUCCAUGAACUUGAUUCCUUCCGGAAAAUGCAAAUUAACAUUUCGUUUCAUCUACAUGGGUAAUUCUGCCCCUCCCCCUCCUCCACUCCAAAAUCUCGAACCACAUCUUCAUAAACAUGGCGUCCUGGAUUCAGUGUCAUCUGUUUGCCGUUCAAAUGCCUCAUCUCUGCAAAUCAGAUGAGCUCCCGAAGGAAUGGGAGACAUUAUUUUUUGAGUGAAAGUGAUUCAAGGAAUAUAAAUACACAAGAGGACGUCACUCGGCGAAUGACAUCACUGUGUAUGUACUACCAUCUGACAUGAAGCUGGCCCUACCUACUUAUCAAAUGGAAUAAUGUAGCUGAGGACAAAUCAAUAUACACACUGGACGAGUCUACUCUAAGCAGAGGGGUGCCAGGAUAGCAUACAUCAUAAGACAGCCAUGUUGGAGGAAAGCAUCGAAUUCCGAUGAAGAUCGAAGAUAAGAGUGCUAACCACCCGGCCUAAUCCUACAUUCCGCGCUCCAACUCUACCAGGCAACCUGCACACCAAGACCUAGCAAGUCGCCAUGGAUUACACGUAAAUACCACACACCCUUCAAAGAUACACCAGCAGCCAUGGCAUAGGACACACGCCACGUCAGUUCGAGGAACAAUCUGUGAACUAAGGACUAACCGAGCAAAAGGGCAGACCUGAGUUGUAAAGCCGCCAUCAUUCAUUGGCGGAUAGACCUCUAUGGGAAUCACAUGGUCCAAAAUCAAGUGAACCAUUGGACGUUGUGACGUAGACCUAAACGAUGAUGUCUGCCCGAAUCCAUAUCUCCGCUAUGUAUGCUGAUCAAUGAUUAAUACUCAAGGAGUCGUACGGAGAGACUCGGAGAGAGGAAUACACAACCACGUACACACGCACACACCUAGUAACACACACACCCACACCUUAUACAGCAAGCUACACGCCAUCAUCCAGAGAACGGUCAAAUGGGUUUUGGACUGCGGAUCUCCAUUACAUAUGCUUUCUGGCACUAGUGGAACUCCUCGAAAAACCCACGUGGGGCUCGCCUGGAACAUCCCAAGGACAAAACAAUUAAAAAUCCGAACAAUCGACAAAGGAUCGACCCUUGUCAUCAUCUCCAUGUCAUUGACGUAAUCGACGGCGACCUCAUCAUCUCAACGAAGAACUAACGACGGUGUCACAUUUCUUAAAUAUUUUUCGCCAAAAUUGCAAAGUAUUGUAUCAACGAUCAAUCGGUAGUAUUAUCACUGGAAUUAUCAACGAAGAAAGUAUGAACAAGACUUAAAAGAGAUAACCCUAUCUUUGGUCAAUGAUAGCUGUAUUUCAAUUUCCGCUUAUCGUAUUUGCUUCAAUAUUAAAGAAUAUGUUAAAUAGUAGUAGCAAUUUUUUAAGAUUUACCUUUAGUUUGCAAUAUUUUUAAAAAGAAGAUGGGUUACCAAGUACAAUUUUGCAUAUACAAUGAUUUUUGAAAUUAAAAGUCUUUAAAGUUUCAAGAAUUAUCCGUGUACCAACCAUUCUAAGGCGCUUCUCAUUUACAACAUUAAAGAACUGUUUCAUUCAAAUGGGACAAAACAUUAAAUCAAAUAAACAUCAACGAUACCAUACGUUGUAGCAGGUAUUGUUUGGUAAUGUGUGUAUAUCCCUAUAUGAUCUUGCAUGUCGGCAGUGAAUUCAUGAAUAUUCUUUACUUACCAAUAUGUAAUUUCUGCGAUGAAUCUCUGAGCAUCACAGCACGUGGAAUAUCAGUCUCUUUUGAUCAGUCUUCUCUCUAAGCCGCAUGCCAUUUUAAUAAUACCCUCGGAAUGUAAAGGAGAGAGAUGACUUUGUUUCCAUAGCAGCAGUGAUGACAGAGCUUCUUUGACUGUGUGGUAAGUGCGCGGUUACUCCAUGUCAUGGAGAAUAGUAGAACAGUUGAACAAAUGUCUAGGGACGGAACAACUAAUACACACUUUUGUCCUUUCUUUUCGAAAGGAAUUGAAAUUUAAAGGCUGUCGGCACAAGUUUGGCCAGGAGGGAUUUAACCUCCUUGCCUGGUCACUGACAGGUGCUUAUCUCAUCAAUCAGCUCUCAAUUAACAUAAGAAAAGGGGGGUCAUGGGGGACUAGCGGGUACCGUUUAGACAUUGUUUGCUAUAUAGAGGGCGCAAGUAGCUACAAAUAGUGCAGUCCCGCGUUAAAGGGUGUCUGAGAUUCAGUGCAUAGUAUCUGAAAUUGUGGAAUGAACCUCAGAGCUCGCAAGCCAACAGUAAGACUACCUCGUUAAUGACUCUAGCAACAGACUUUAAUAAUGUUUGCAGUGUUUUCACUUUUGAAAUGCAUGAGAAUAUCAAAAAUUGUCGAAAUCAAGUUAAUAGCUAAUAACUAUUAGCUUGGCUCAGUCAUCCGGAUUGUAGACUAGACACAAAGCGGUGUGUGUCCGUCUAUUGCCCCCUUCGCCCCCUCGCUGACGAGGAUUCUAUUAUCGAACAACAUCAACGGUGAAUAGUCUCAAUAUAUGAUUUCUAAUUAUCAAGGUAUCUGUUAGUACAUUCAAUGUUAAGCUUCUUAAACUAUGCACAUGUCUUUAUUGGUAUGAUAGGAAAACUAACUUUUCUAUUAAUUAUGGUUAUGGCCACAUGGGAGCAUUGUGUUUCACUGGCAAAGACCCUUGCAUCUAACGGCAGGUCCUGGGUUCGACACUUACUUAUAGUGCGUACAUACUUGGAAAUGUAAUCUUAAUAUUCGUUCCUCUCCGUCGAGUCAGGUGUAUGUGUAUGGUACUGUUAUGGUAACAAUUAUUCCAGGGUACUCAGAAAGAGCAGUGUCAAUACUGAUGUUGCUCCCAUGGGUAGAUAAUACCAUAUUGUCAUCAUUAUUAUCAUCAUUAAACUACAAAUGAUAAAUGAAGGUGACCGUGUUUAAUUCAGCCUCCUUGAUGCAUAAGGGAGGUCAAUACGAAUGCAUGCAAACCGUA